UACGUAGGGGGCAAGCGUUGUCCGGAUUUAUUGGGCGUAAAAGGCUUGUAGGUGGCCACGCCAAGUCGGAUGUGAAAUCUCCCGGCUCAACUGGGAGGGGUCAUUCGAUACUGGUGGGCUCGAGGCCGGUAGGGGGAAGUGGAAUUCCCGGUGUAGUGGUGGAAUGCGUAGAGAUUGGGAAGAACACCAGUGGCGAAGGCGGCUAUCUGGACGGUUUCUGACACUAAGACUCGAAAGCGUGGGGAGCAAACAGG
rnacentral:rRNA from 1 species